GCAAAAGCAGUUGGCUUAAAAAACAGCGACCAUCUCUGUUCAUACUCCACAGAAUUGUGGUUUGCUGAUGCUGUGCAACUUCUGUGCAACUUCAUUGCUGACGAGGAUCAGGCAGCCAGGAGCAUCUCCUUAACAUGGAGGGCUGUAGCCUCACUCCAUGGAGAUGAAGGCAAGGAGCAGCUUCAUCUGGACUUUGGGAAAUCCCCCAAGAGAAGAUAAGGAAUACUAAGAUUUUUAUAUGUAGAGGAACUGCUU
rnacentral:lncRNA from 1 species